UCUGGAUGGUGGACAAACGGUGGC
rnacentral:miRNA from 1 species